rnacentral:lncRNA from 1 species
UUCGUGACAAGCUGCAACAGUGGUUUCAUGAUCAUCGUGAGGAAUCACAGAGUUGCACAAGUGUGCUAACCCCGGCUCAGGAAGAUAAACUCUUCAAGACUCUAGAGGUGGCAAUGAAUGUAUAUGUAGAACCACUAGAUCAGUUUCGCUUCUCCGCGAGAUGUGCACGUAAUUUCGGAUACAUCGUCGACUUGAAUGAUAACACGUGCACGUGUAGACAGUUUCAGUUGGAGAGUUUUCCGUGUACACAUGUAGUGGCGGUGGCCAUGUAUAGAGGAAUUCCACCACACACCUUAUGCAGUGUUUAUUAC